GGUUGUAGCUCAGUGGUAGAGCGCUUGUCUUGCACGGGUGAGGCACUGGGUUUGAUCCUCAGCACCA
rnacentral:tRNA from 1 species